UGGGGAAUUUUGGACAAUGGGCGAAAGCCUGAUCCAGCAAUGCCGCGUGUGUGAAGAAGGCCUUCGGGUUGUAAAGCACUUUUGUCCGGAAAGAAAUCCUUGGCUCUAAUACAGUCGGGGGAUGACGGUACCGGAAGAAUAAGCACCGGCUAACUACGUGCCAGCAGCCGCGGUAAUACGUAGGGUGCAAGCGUUAAUCGGAAUUACUGGGCGUAAAGCGUGCGCAGGCGGUUUGCUAAGACCGAUGUGAAAUCCCCGGGCUCAACCUGGGAACUGCAUUGGUGACUGGCAGGCUAGAGUAUGGCAGAGGGGGGUAGAAUUCCACGUGUAGCAGUGAAAUGCGUAGAGAUGUGGAGGAAUACCGAUGGCGAAGGCAGCCCCCUGGGCCAAAUACUGACGCUCAUGCACGAAAGCGUGGGGAGCAAAACAGGAUUAGAUACCCUGGUAGUCCACGCCCUAAACGAUGUCAACUAGUUGUUGGGGAUUCAUUUCCUUAGUAACGUAGCUAACGCGUGAAGUUGACCGCCCGGGGAGUACGGUCG
rnacentral:rRNA from 1 species